AAAAUCCGUUUAGACAAUGCUAGGAUGUGAUGGGGAAGCCCUUCGGGGCGAAGUAGCUGAUUUCACACUGUCAAGAAAAGCUUCUAUCGAGUUUAAAGGCGCCCGUACCGUAAACCGACACAGGUGGGUGAGGAGAGUAUCCUAAGGCCAGCGAGAGAACUAUUGUUAAGGAACUCGGCAAAAUGACCCCGUAACUUAGGGAGAAGGGGUGCCUGUCUAUGACGGGCCGCAGAGAAUAGGCCCAAGCGACUGUUUACCAAAAACACAGGUUUCUGCUAAGUCGCAAGACGAUGUAUAGGAGCUGACGCCUGCCCGGUGCUGGAAGGUUAAGGGGAUCUGUUAGAGCAAUCGAAGCAGUGAACUUAAGCCCCAGUAAACGGCGGCCGUAACGAUAACGGUCCUAAGGUAGCGAAAUUCCUUGUCGGGUAAGUUCCGACCCGCACGAAAGGCGUAACGAUUUGGGCACUGUCUCAACAAUAGACUCGGUGAAAUUGUAAUCCCGGUGAAGAUGCCGGGUACCUGCGACAGGACGGAAAGACCCCAUGGAGCUUUACUGUAGCUUGACGUUGGGUCUUGGUACUACAUGUACAGGAUAGGUGGGAGACUAUGAAGCAUGGACGCCAGUCUGUGUGGAGUCAUCCUUGGGAUACCACCCUUGUAGUACUGGGAUCCUAACCAUAGGCCUUGAAUCAGGUCUUGGAACACCGUCAGGUGGGCAGUUUGACUGGGGCGGUCGCCUCCUAAAAAGUAACGGAGGCGCUCAAAGGUUUCCUCAGCACGGUCGGAAAUCGUGCGAAGAGUGUAAAGGCAAAAGGAAGCUUGAUUGCAAGACAUACAGGUCGAGCAAGGACGAAAGUCGGACUUAGUGAUCCGGUGGUACCGCAUGGAAGGGCCAUCGCUCAACGGAUAAAAGCUACCCUGGGGAUAACAGGCUUAUCUCCCCCAAGAGUCCACAUCGACGGGGAGGUUUGGCACCUCGAUGUCGGCUCAUCACAUCCUGGGGCUGUAGUAGGUCCCAAGGGUUGGGCUGUUCGCCCAUUAAAGUGGUACGCGAGCUGGGUUCAGAACGUCGUGAGACAGUUCGGUCCCUAUCCGUCGCAGGCGUAGGAAAUUUGAGAAGACCUGUCCUUAGUACGAGAGGACCGCGAUGGACGUACCUCUGGUGUACCAGUUGUUCUGCCAAGGGCAUGGCUGGGUAGCUAUGUACGGAAUGGAUAAGCGCUGAAAGCAUCUAAGCGCGAAGCCAACUUCAAGAUAAGAUUUCCCACCGUAAGGGUAAGACCCCAGGAAGACUACCUGGUUGAUAGGUCGAAGGUGUAAGUGCAGUAAUGUAUUUAGCUUAUCGAUACUAAUAGGUCGAGGACUUGACCAA
rnacentral:rRNA from 1 species